AUGUCGUCGCCGCUACGACAUGGAACACCAUCUCCUAUCUCCACCCACCAGCAGCCGAUCUCAUCCGCGAUCUCUCCCUCCGUCAGAUCCAGAUCCACAACAGAUCCACCAUGCUGCCACUGUCUCCGUCACACAAUGCACCGACACCCCGCGUCCUCAAGUCCGCGAUACCACGUCCCUCCACCGCCAUCUUCCUCCGUCAGCGAUUCCGCCAUGAUCAUCAUUAGAGGUUACAGUUUCUUUUCCAUGCUUUUGUUUCACGUUGGUUUUAAUUGUUUGAUUUUGCAAGGAGAAAUGAGUCUGGUUUUUAUGAAGAGAGAAGGGGAUUAG